rnacentral:rRNA from 1 species
AUUGAACGCUGGCGGCAUGCCUUACACAUGCAAGUCGAACGGCAGCACGGGAGCAAUCCUGGUGGCGAGUGGCGAACGGGUGAGUAAAGUAUCGGAACGUGCCCAGUCGUGGGGGAUAACGUAGCGAAAGUUACGCUAAUACCGCAUACGAUCUAUGGAUGAAAGCGGGGGAUCGCAAGACCUCGCGCGAUUGGAGCGGCCGAUAUCAGAUUAGGUAGUUGGUGGGGUAAAGGCUCACCAAAGCCGACGAUCUGUAGCUGGUCUGAGAGGAUGGACCACCAACACUGGGACGGAGAAACGGCCCAGAGUCCUACGGGAGGCAGGAUUGGGGAAUUUUGGACAAUGGGCGAAAGCCUGAUCCAGCCAUGCGGGGUGCAGGAUGAAGCCCUUCGGGUUGUAACCUGCUUUUGUACGGAACGAAAAGGUUUGGCCUAAUAAGCUGAGCUCAUGACCGUACCGUAAGAAUAAGCACCGGCUAACUACGUGCCAGCCGCCGCGGUAA